rnacentral:rRNA from 1 species
UACGUAGGGUGCGAGCGUUAAUCGGAAUUACUGGGCGUAAAGCGUGCGCAGGCGGCGCGUUAAGACAGGUGUGAAAGCCCCCGAGCUUAACUUGGGAAUUGCGCUUGUGACUGGCGUGCUGGAGUGUGGCAGAGGGAGGUGGAAUUCCACGUGUAGCAGUGAAAUGCGUAGAGAUGUGGAGGAACACCGAUGGCGAAGGCAGCCUCCGUGGGCAGCACUGACGCUCAUGCACGAAAGCGUGGGGAGCAAACAGG